rnacentral:sRNA from 1 species
UGGGUCUGCCUUACAAACAUACAAACACAUUUAUUUACUUGGCAGACGUACCUGAGAAUGAGAGGUGUGAAUCUGGGGUGGAACCCAGGAACACUGAUUUCUGGAAAAGAGUUUGGAUGGUGGUAGUAAAGGGGAUAUGGCUGUGGCUCUUCCCUUUUUGCUCCAGGAAGUGGACAAAAUUAUCCUACAGAUGAUGCGAGUGGCUGAAUACCUGGAUUGGGAUGUGUCUGAGCUGAGGCCGAUUCUUCAGGAGAUGAUGAAAGAGAUUGACUAUGAUGGCAGUGGCUCUGUCUCUCAAGCUGAGUGGGUCCGGGCUGGGGCCACCACCGUGCCACUGCUAGUGCUGCUGGGUCUGGAGAUGACUCUGAAGGACGAUGGACAGCACAUGUGGAGGCCCAAGAGGUUCCCCAGACCAGUCUACUGCAAUCUGUGCGAGUCAAGCAUUGGUCUUGGCAAACAGGGACUGAGCUGUAACCUCUGUAAGUACACUGUUCACGACCAGUGUGCCAUGAAAGCCCUGCCUUGUGAAGUCAGCACCUAUGCCAAGUCUCGGAAGGACAUUGGU